GAUGAACGCUGACGGCGUGCCUAAUACAUGCAAGUCGAGCGAAUGGAUUAAGAGCUUGCUCUUAUGAAGUUAGCGGCGGACGGGUGAGUAACACGUGAGUAACCUGCCCAUAAGACUGGGAUAACUCCGGGAGACCGGGGCUAAUACCGGAUAACAUUUUGAACCGCAUGGUUCGAAAUUGAAAGGCGGCUUCGGCCGUCACUUAUGGAUGGACCCGGGUCGCAUUAGCUAGUUGGUGAGGUAACGGCUCACCAAGGCAACGAUGCGUAGCCGACCUGAGAGGGUGAUCGGCCACACUGGGACUGAGACACGGCCCAGACUCCUACGGGAGGCAGCAGUAGGGAAUCUUCCGCAAUGGACGAAAGUCUGACGGAGCAACGCCGCGUGAGUGAUGAAGGCUUUCGGGUCGUAAAACUCUGUUGUUAGGGAAGAACAAGUGCUAGUUGAAUAAGCUGGCACCUUGACGGUACCUAACCAGAAAGCCACGGCUAACUACGUGCCAGCCGCCGCUGUAA
rnacentral:rRNA from 1 species